GAUGAAGAACGUAGCGAAAUGCGAUACGUAAUGUGAAUUGCAGAAUUCAGUGAAUCAUCGAAUCUUUGAACGCACAUUGCGCCUGCCAGCACUCUGGCAGGCAUGCCUGUUCGAGCGUCAUUUCAACCAUCAAGCCCUAGGCUUGCGUUGGAGCCCUGCGGCUGCCGCAGGCCCCUAAAAGCAGUGGCGGGCUCGCUAUCACACCGAGUGCAGUAGAUUACUCUUCGCUCAGGGCGUGUGGCGGGUUCCAGCCGUGAAACCCCCUGCUUCUCAAGGUUGACCUCGGAUCAGGUAGGAAUACCCGCUGAACUUAAGCAUAUCAAUAAGCGGAGGA
rnacentral:misc_RNA from 1 species